rnacentral:lncRNA from 1 species
GGCAACAAGAGCGAAACUCCAUCUCAAAAAAAAAAAAAAGGAAGAACACCCAUGAAUCACUACUCCUAAACCCACCUCCAUUUUAAAUUGGCAUUGUUGAUAAAUAAAUUCAAGUUUCCUUGGAAAUCAAGGUUUACAGAGGUGAAAGUACAAGCUGUUACAAAUACCUAGUUACAAAGAACACUCAUCAUGGGUCAAAUUGUAACUAGUGAAACCACUGCCAUCCAAAAGGUUACUAGAGGCAAAUUCAAUAUCUAUUUAAUUAUUUAUUUGUAUUUAUU